rnacentral:rRNA from 1 species
CGGAAUUACUGGGCGUAAAGGGUGCGUAGGCGGUCCAUUAAGUCAGGUGUGAAAAACCUGGGCUCAACCGAGGUAUUGCACUUGAAACUGGUGAGCUUGAGUGCAGGAGAGGGAAGUGGAAUUCCUAGUGUAGCGGUGAAAUGCGUAGAUAUUAGGAGGAACACCAGUGGCGAAGGCGGCUUCCUGGACUGUAACUGACGCUGAGGCACGAAAGCGUGGGGAGCAAACAGGAUUAGAUACCCCCGUAGUCACGUCCUGUUCUGAAU